rnacentral:guide_RNA from 1 species
AACAUGCAUACAGAGACUAUAAUAGAUGCAGUGAUGAUAAUUUAAG